AAUUUGUAAAUGAUUCUUCAUUAGGAGGGUUGAAUACAAGUUUCUUAUGGAAACAAUCUACGGUGACGUGAUACAUUGCUAGCCAAUUCAUCCCUAAAAUUACAUCAAAGUCCUCCAUGUCAAUCUCUAUUAGGUCCCCACUCAAUUUUUUAUCUACUAUAUCUAUUAUACAUACUCUGUAUAUACCCUCCCCCAGUAGUGUCCUACUCCCAAGAGUAGACACAAACAACACAGAAUCAAGUCUUUUAAGUAAUACAUUCAAGUUUGGUGCAAAAGCAUGUGAAACAAAUGAAUGUGAGGCACCAGUAUCAAUCAAAACAUGUGCAAGAUAUUUACAGAUAGUGUACAUAUCCUAUAUUACGUCUGGGUUGGCUUCUGCAUCUUACUGAGUGAGGUUAUAAGCUAUAUCCUAUAUAGGAGGUCUAAGUUGAUUCUAGUUCCUCGGGCACUCCCUCGCGUAGUAUUAGCACUCCCACAUAUGCGGCAAGUAUUGUUAAGGCAAUAGCAGGAUCAAUCCCCAUGAUCCUUGCCACAGUACUGGUAACUUCUACCACAUCCUGUUGUUAGAAUCUGAGGAGGAACCUGAGUCAUCAACCUAGGUCUCUUGUUUUGUUGAACAGAUGCAGUGGGUGCUGGUCUACGGUGUGAAACCGAGGACCUAAAAUUCCCUACUACUGGAGGAAAAUACGAAGGUUUCUCUUCACCAAUUGUGCCUUGACUAGAAUGUCGAGUAAGUACUGAGCUCAAACACAUACAGCUGCUACCUAAUCUCAAGACAGAGGCCCCACUUGAACUUUCUUCCCUU
rnacentral:lncRNA from 1 species